AGGAGGGAUCUCGAGUGAGUAGGGGCCCGAGUUUGAGUGACCCAGUAGUGACCGGGAUAGGGGUCUGAGCCUGGAAAGGCAGCUGUGAGGGGGUGGAAGAGACUGAGCACAUAGUGGCUCAUCGCGGUCACGGACUUCCAGACGCGCUCGCGCUUGCUGCGCUCCGGGCUCAGUCCCCGCGGGCUUGCGCACCAGAUCGUGCGCCACGACGACCUCCUGCUGGGCGACUACCGCCUGCACCUGCGCCGCUCCCUGGUCCGGCGGCGCAUGCUCCAGGCCCUGGGGGCGGAGCCGAACGAGGAGGCCUGACGCCCGGGCCGGCCCCGGCAGCGCUUGCGCACCGCCCCGCGGGCUGGGGCCACCCACCCGGAGCCCCGGAGGACAGGGGGCGUUGCCUUCCCAGGAAGGAGGCGGGGCCGGCUCGAGGGGGUGGAUACUGUGAGUUUAAUUAUAAAGAAUGACCUGGUACAAAAGCCA
rnacentral:sRNA from 1 species